rnacentral:rRNA from 1 species
UACGUAGGGACCAAGCGUUGUUCGGAUUUACUGGGCGUAAAGGGCGCGUAGGCGGCGCGGUCAAGUCACUUGUGAAAUCUCUGAGCUUAACUCAGAACGGCCAAGUGAUACUGCAGUGCUAGAGUGUGGAAGGGGCAAUCGGAAUUUACGGUGUAGCGGUGAAAUGCGUAGAUAUCGUAAGGAAGACCAGUGGCGAAGGCGGGUCGCUGGACAGUUCCUGACGCUGAGGCACGAAGGUCAGGGGAGCAAACGGG